AACGAACGCUGGCGGCAUGCCUAACACAUGCAAGUCGAACGAGACCUUCGGGUCUAGUGGCGCACGGGUGCGUAACGCGUGGGAAUCUGCCCUUGGGUUCGGGAUAACAGUUGGAAACGACUGCUACUACCGGAUGAUGACUUCGGUCCAAAGAUUUAUCGCCCAGGGAUGAGCCCGCGUCGGAUUAGCUAGUUGGUGAGGUAAGAGCUCACCAAGGCGACGAUCCGUAGCUGGUCUGAGAGGAUGAUCAGCCACACUGGGACUGAGACACGGCCCAGACUCCUACGGGAGGCAGCAGUGGGGAAUAUUGGACAAUGGGCGAAAGCCUGAUCCAGCAAUGCCGCGUGAGUGAUGAAGGCCUUAGGGUUGUAAAGCUCUUUUACCCGGGAUGAUAAUGACAGUACCGGGAGAAUAAGCCCCGGCUAACUCCGUG
rnacentral:rRNA from 1 species